UACGUAGGGUGCAAGCGUUGUCCGGAAUUAUUGGGCGUAAAGAGCUCGUAGGCGGUUUGUCGCGUCUGCUGUGAAAACCCGAGGCUCAACCUCGGGCCUGCAGUGGGUACGGGCAGACUAGAGUGUGGUAGGGGAGACUGGAAUUCCUGGUGUAGCGGUGAAAUGCGCAGAUAUCAGGAGGAACACCGGUGGCGAAGGCGGGUCUCUGGGCCGAUACUGACGCUGAGGAGCGAAAGCGUGGGGAGCGAACAGG
rnacentral:rRNA from 1 species